UACGGAGGGGUUAGCGUUGUUCGGAAGUUACUGGGCGGUAAAGACGCACGUAAGGCGGAGUUGGAAAGUUAGGGGGUUGGAAAAUACCCCGGGGCGUCAACCCCCGGAACCGUGCCUCCAAAACUUACCAGUCUGGAGUUCGAGAGAGGUGAGUGGAAUUCCGAGUGUAGAGGUGAAAUUACGUAGAUAUUCGGAGGAACACCAGUGGCGAAGGCGGCUCACUGGCUCGAUACUGACGCUGAGGUGCGAAAGUGUGGGGAGCAAACAGGAUUAGAUACCCCGGUAGU
rnacentral:rRNA from 1 species